AAGUGUUGUAGGUGUUAAGAGGGGAAAAAAAAUUUAUGAGGGCUUGAGCAGCCAGGAAAGGUUUCACAGAGAAGGUGGAAUUUGAGUUGAAUGUCAAGGCUAGGAAGGAUCAGAGAGGAGAAAAUGUGGUGGGCCAUUCAACACAACUUUGCUCAAAGAAACUGGAAGAAAUUUUGCUGUAGACAGAAGUAAUCUGACAAUUUUAGAAUUACUGUGAAAAGAAAGUCUUGAUGAUUUUACUCUAACAAAAAUGAAGUUGAAAUUGAAUUGUUUUUCUCAUCCCACCUGAUGAUUUUUUGAGGGGCACAGAACUGAAUUCACUAACUCUAUAGCAAUUUCCUCCUACAAUAUAUGACCCUACUUACCAUUUCUAAUCUAUUAAAAAAAAACCCACCUGUUUAUGUGAUAGAAUUACACAAGGGCAUCCAACCUGAACACUGGUAACAGUCCUGUCCCCACGGGUAUGCAUCAGGCACAGUGCCUCUGUGAGUGGCAGAGACUGGGGCCUCAUCCGUCUCUUCUUUUUCCCAAGAUGCUUCCUACAUAGAUCUCCCACUGCACCACACACUGAGAAGCUCAGUUCAGUGUGUUUCAGGUGGUAGGUGUGUGUGGAAACCCAAUGACUCAUGCUUAGACUUGAUUCAGGCCUUUGGUGAUCUUGCAGACGGAUGAAAACAUGGAGGCGUGCUGUGUUCCAGUUUCACUUCAUCACCCUCUGGAUUUACAGCUCUGCCCAGUUCUGUCGUCAUUGCAGGCAAGAUCCUCUUGUAUGAUAGGAACCAGUAACAGUCACCAGACCAGAAUUUGAACACACACAUCCUUAAGGUGCAUCCCAAAGGUUGCCCCCUGACCCAGGAAGCCUUGGAACAUCACUCUCCUCUCCCCAGCCCAGGACCCCUACUCAGAGAUUGGCCAGUUCCUCCAUCAUUCUCUCCUCUUGUGUCAGCUUUGCCCUGAGAUCACCUUCUUGCCAUCCAUUUCCCUCACACCCUGAGCCCUGUGAACUUGAACUGCAAUAAGCUUGAACCACAGAUGAAGAGUCUAAAUGUCCUGACCAACAAAAUCUCAUAAAUUGUGGGCUCAGCUCCUUGGGAAGUGGUAUGCAUGACUUCCUUCACCAUAUUUAAGAUCUGAUGGAAUUAAUCGCUGAGGAACAUAUUGAAGGAGACAGAAACAGAGUGGAACAGAGACCCAAGGAGCUGUUUUCCUCCCCAGGUUCCAGGAUUUUUGCAACAAAUCAUGUAACCUUGUGCAACAGGUACAAAAAAGGAAAAGAAAAGACGGAGAAGAACAUUUCCCUUUGUGUCCUAUUGUGGGGCUACUUCAUUUGUAGGGAUGUAAUUGUAGCCUGAAGCGUGCACUUGGGAAUCUGUGUUUCUGGGAAGAUUGGAGCUCCUCCCAUAAAGAGCUGGAGGAGACUGUGACGAGAAACAAUCUUUCCAACUAGCGACUGCGACUGAAUGAAUUGAAGGAGAUGCCUUUUUGCUUUAAUUUUUCGCCACCCCCAACUCUGCAUUUAAGAGAAAAAAAAAAAAACGCUUUUUUUUCUUUGAGACUAUACCAGACUAGUUAAUAGAACAGGAUAAUUCUGGAUACAAGGCUCUGCAAAAUAGGAGAGUAUAAUGAGAGGCAUUUGAAUGGAUGUCAUUGUCUUUCACAAAGCAUGCUUUUGUCUCAUUGUUUUCACCUAAGACUUCUUGCAAAACAACGGGCUUUGAAAGUGCAAGAUAGGCUGCUUCACUCUUGAAGAGCUGACAGACAUCCCACCUUUUCCAGGAGGAUUGUGACUGGAGCUUCAAUCAUUUUUCUCCCCCGUUUCUGUGCAGUAGGUGCGACAAUUAGAGAGAACUGUGAGCUGACUAUCCUAUACCCAGUUCCAAUCCUGUCAGAAGGAACUAAAAAUACCCUGUGGUCAAACUAUAGUGAGUCCUGCUUCUAACGAGCUUGGGCUGAGGGUAGCCAGGGGGCGGUCAUGUCACCCACAGAAACAACAGCCAGAUGACACAAAACCAUCGCAUGAAAUUUCCUUCAUCUGAAAGCCUGCGACCUUUUUUAUGAUGCUGCACUUUGGUGAAACAAACAAACAAAAAAGUCCAUUUCUAAAUAUAGCCAGCUUUUGUAGGCUGUAGUUAGUCACGUUCCCACUUUGUAAAAAAUAUCAGAACGCAUUUUGGCAGAAAUUUUCAUCAUGAUACGUUUUUUUUUCCUUUCAGUUCCCCAUAUUUAAAACUCUGGUGACACAAACAUUAAGGUAUAUAACCAGAAAACCUCUUGUGUGUGGGGAAUUCUUCUGGAGUCAUGUGGUUCUUUACUUGACAAAAAUUUAUUGAGGACCUGAAUCAGGGUUGUUCCAAGCCUCUGCUUCGAAUCAGUUUUCACUAUAGUCUUUUGUUCUUGGAGCUCUCUAGGAAAUCCCCACAUAGUUGGAAAAAAGGUGACUGCUCUCUCACCUGUAUAUGUGCCAUAGCAGAGAGCAUUGGAAACAAAACGGAGAUCAUCAAACACCUGCCUUGUGGGGCUCUGGUGGAUUUCAAAUGCAUUAAUACCCAUACAACAUCUAAUCAGAGUCUGUCAAGAGACAUCAUUACCACGUGGCAUGUUGCUUCAUGGCUGCAGUAUGGCUGCCUCUGCUCCAAGCAUCACGUUCACAUUCAAGGCAAAAGAAAGGAAAGGAAGAGUGGCACUAGCGAUGUCUUUAUCAGGGAAACAAACAAACAAACAAACAUCAUUGCUCACAUCUCAUUGGCCAGGACUGUGCCUUAUGGAAAUCUUUUGUUGCCAGGAGGUUUCCUGGCCUCCACAGUAAAGGAACAAGGAGGAAAGAGGAAUAGGAAUGGCCAGCCAAUGCCAGCUGCCAUAUUUUGUAUAUCCAUAUGGCUAUUCCAUCAACUUCCCUGGCAUUAGGGAAGGAGCGGUUUUUUAUUGUUGUUGUUUGUAAUUUAAGUAAGCUCAGUACUCAGCAUGGGGUUUGAACUCACAACCUGAGAUCAAGAUUCACAUGCUCUACCUAUUGAGUCAGUAGGUCCCUCAGGGAAGGAGUCUUCUAAUACUAACCUCCCCAAAUCAUUCAGCUUUUAAAAUUACCUUUACU